GGUAAGUAAGUUGAGAGCGUCUCUAAUGAAAGAUGAACGGUGGUCUUGAGUCCCCGUGUGGCAGGAGAGGCCAGAACUGAGUUCACAUCCCUGCUCUGUGACUUUGAGCAGAUACUUGGCCUCUCUGAGUCCCCAGUCCCCUCUGCUGUGAAAACAGAGACAAAUGCCCAUCCCAGGAGGCUGUUCAAUGAGGUCACUUCGGAACGCCUGAAAGGUAGUGAAUCCUCGACGAUGGUAGUUUCUUUUCUCUUCUGAAAACAGCAGCUGGCCUGGGUUUUCUUGAUCGCCUUAGGAAGUCUCGGGGGGAACUUCCGGAUGAUCCCGAAAACCAGAGAAAUGGCGCGAUUGACAAAAACCAACAGGCAAAACAGAACAACAGAGUUGAGAGACAGAGCGACUCAGUAAAGCUUCUUCUAUCUGUACAACUUCACGCUUUGCCGAAGGGCUCCCCUAACUGCAGUUUGAUUUGGGCCUCACACUCGCUCGCUCUAGGAGACCUUGAUGGGGCAAAUACCACCCGGUCCACGUGAAGCACGAGGAAACUAGUGGAAAGAAAUUAGAUAUGAUCGCUCAUGGCCCUUCGGCGUCCGGUCUAGCGCAUUUCUCCCACGGUGCUUUCUCAGCAUCACGGUGCUUCUAGAAUAAUGACCAUAACGACGUCGCCUGCGUGUGCACACGUAGGGCCCUUUUCAGCGCGCACACCUCCCGUGGGGCGUCUCCCCUAGCUCUCGCGACAGGGAUUUCUGGGCUUUUCACCCAUGAAGAGCCCAGCGCUUGCCCAGUCCAAGCAGUCAGCUCAACAUCACACGGCUAAUCCAGAGGCUGAGCUUGGGCCUCCUGCUACGUCCAGGGCUCCUGUGCUGGAGGACUUUCAUCGCACUCAAGGUACCGAGGGCAGUGGGGAGGUGGAUGUGUGUCUAGGGUGAGAGCAGGCCGCGCGUUCUCUGGCCCCGGUGGAGUGCCACGCCCCGGCGGCCCCGGCCCCGGCGGUCACAGCGACGGGCACAGCCAGCUCCCUGCCCAGGUCAUUUCGUGUGAUCCGCGGCGGCGGUGUGAUUUGUUGACGGCUUUUCUUCCCCGCUGGGACAGCAUGGAAAUAAUCAGAUGAAUAAUGAGCCUGUGAAGACGGAUGCCGUCUGAGCCAGCUCCCACAGAAGGGAAUCCUACGCCGGGAUUCCCGCCUCGAGCAGCACAGGACGAUGGAUGUUUCCGCAGAAGGCUGGCCCUCGUUUGCUCCGUUGGCAGCCGAUUGUUCCUCUCCACGGACGGCAGAGAGGCUUCGGAUUUAAUAGUGCUGGCAGCUCUGUGUUCCAGGAGCGGGGAGGAGAUGAGCGCUGGUGGGCUCGUUCUGGGGACAGAAGGCCGCCUCUGACCCUGAGUCGGCUGUCAGGCGGGCCAGCCACCCUCCGCGGAAGGUUUUCCCACGCAGAGGUGGCCACCCUACCUGGUGACGAGCCACGGUGCGCCCGUGCUGCUUUCCUCACCUAUUGCUGGAUCACAAACUCGAGGCUUCACACCAAGUUGUUCUGCACCUUACCAUUCCAUGGGCCAGGUUUCUGUUCCACGUCGCGUUGGCUGGGGUGGCCCGACUGGGGCUGGAGGAUCCACCGUGGCCUCGCUCACGCGUCCGGGAGCGUGGUGUUGGCGGUCGGCGGGGUGCCUCAGUUUCCCUCCACACGGCCCCCCUCCGGCAGCGCAGCCCGGACUCGUUUACGCGGCAGCUGGGUUCCAGGAACAACAGUGAAACGACGGUGAGCUCUGCGGGGAAACACCUGAGUUCUCUGCACCCCACGGGGCAGGCGCAGCACGGCACAGCGGCUCAGUCACAUGUUCUCCGGACUGUGGAUGGGGCAGCGAAAGGAAGAGAAAAGAGGGCUGCCCCGAGGUCCUGAGUUAGACAAGCCUCAGAAGACGAACGUCCUCCAGGGAGAAAAGACAGCUGUUCUGGAAAAUGGGCCUGGCCUACAGACUGUGCCCAGCCACAGUGGGGAGAGGCUGGCAGUCACAUUCAUCUGUCACGGGCAUCUCUAGUUGGCUCUUAGCAAGCCCAGGGAAAAGGCAUUUCUCUCUCUCCUAGUUUCUGCCUGUCCUUUCAGAGAACUUGGAGUGACCUUGCUUGGGUGUUCACACACGAUUGAUCCCUGGGGCCCCGGAAUUCUGGUAGGCUGAGCCCCGUCAGAUGACCGCCCUGGUUUGGGGUGGGUGGACAGCGUGCCCCUCCUCAGAUGCAAGGCUGAGCCAGGCGAGGGGAGCCCGGGGGACACCCCGCAGAAGCACCCUGCCUCAGGGCAGCAUCCAGAUCUCUACUCCCUCCUGGGCUUUUCCACACUGGCAGAGUCCUCCGCGUUUCUGUCUGUCUUCCUCCCACCCCAGAACAACGCUGCCACCCCGCAGUGCGAGAGAAUUGCCCAUUAUUUCCUGAGCUCUCACUAUGAGCCACACCUGUCUGGCCAGCUUCAUGAAGAUGAUUGUCCUCGUGUUCCAGGUUAGCUAACUGAGGCUCGGAGAACUCAAGGGGCUUGUCCAAAGUGUUGGUGUAUGGCAAAUCAGGGAUUUGAAAUCCGGUCCUGACUCGUGUGGACCCCCGGGGACUUUGCGUGAGUCCCCGCAGGGCGACCUGGAAAAGUCAGAGCUCGUGCCUCGGAAAGCAGCCCAAACCGAAGGAGGCUGGGGGCUCUGGAACUAGAACACCAAGCUCCUGUUUCUGACUUCCGUGAUUCACGCGGCCUUCUACAAACACGGGGCUGAAAGGGAACUUGCAGACUAUCUUAUUGAACUACCUCCGUUCGUAUUUAAUUUUAUUUCAUGGGCCCCGAGGGCUGCGGUUUUAAGUUCCGUCCAUGCUUCUCCGGUGAACAUCUGGUCUGUUGCUUUUAAGUGCUCCUAACAGUGCCUCCUCCCUGGUUUCCUGGCCCCCACUCUAGCGAUGGACUUUCAGAUCACAGCUCGCUCCAUAAGCGAGCGCCCACGGUCAUGGCUCUGUUUUUGAAAGUGAGGAAAAAAUAAAGGGACGAGAAGUGGG